UACGAAGGGGGCUAGCGUUGCUCGGAAUUACUGGGCGUAAAGCGCGUGUAGGCGGCCUGGUAAGUCGGACGUGAAAUCCCUGGGCUCAACCCAGGAACUGCAUCCGAAACUAUCAGUCUGGAGUGGUGGAGAGGGAAGCAGAAUUCCUGGUGUAGCGGUGAAAUGCGCAGAUAUCAGGAAGAACACCUAUGGCGAAGGCAGCUCUCUGGGACGGUACUGACGCUGAGACGCGAAAGCGUGGGGAGCGAACAGG
rnacentral:rRNA from 1 species